rnacentral:lncRNA from 1 species
AGAAGAGUAUAGAUUGUAAAGCAGAGCUCUCUAUUCUUCUCAUUUUUGUGCAGCUUCGUAGUACAAAUGACAACCUGGCUGGAAUUGCUGCCUAAUAAAUGAAGGUUUUUAAUUUUUUUUUUCAUUCUGGUUGUGACAAGCAGUGAUUUUUUCUUUUUCUUUUUCUUUUUUUUUUUUUUUUGGUACAUGUUAAAAAAAGCUCAAUGAGCGGUAAUCUUAAUGAUGACUUAAAAAGAUUUCCUUUAAUCUUUGAAUGAGUGUGCCAUUAAUGCUUCUAAGUUGUUGAAUGUGAAGACUGUUUCAAACCUGUUUUGGUUGGCAAUCAAGUCAAACAGUGAAAUUGUUUUGCUAGAGUGUUGAUGUUUACUCUGCAGAAAUUAAUAGGCUUAAAUAAUCUGACUACAGUGUAAUUAUGUAAACAUUUUUACCUUUUUGAAGACUGAAGGGUUCAAGUCUGGCAGUGUUAUGCACGUAUAUAGCUUUAAGCAAACCUGACUAGUGAGACUGCUUGAAUGAACAAAGUUGGUUAAAUUUAGAAAUGUGUGCUAUAAUGGUUAAGGCAACAGGAAUAUCUCUUCCAAAUAAAUGUCACUGAAGGCUUUAGACCACCAUUCUGAUGUUUGUAAGGCCUCACCUUUUAUCUCCUUCUUGUGAAAUUACUGCAUUUCAAGCAAAUUGGCUGAAUUAACACUCAGUAUCUGACGAGUACAUCUGGCACAGAUUUUUUUUCAUAAUGUGAAUUUAGGAAGUUUUGUACCAGGAUCAUUUCUUCUGUUUUAUUUGUCAUGUUUUCAGCUUGAAGCUUUAUUUUGCACUGAUCACUCUGACCUGAAAGCAUUUAAAUUUGUGUCUUAAAGCUUGACAAAUUUCAAAGCAGAUAUGAAUAGUGUAUUCUAAGCAGAUUCAGUUACUGCCUGCUGACCUGGAAUUUAGUGUAUAUAGGAAUGAUUUCUUGAAAAAGGACUUUGUUAGUUUCCAUUUUGAAGGUUUUUCUUCCAAAUAACUAUUUUAUCUGAAAAUGCCUUUUAUAAACUUGUCUAACAUGUGGCAAACUUAGUGAUGUGUUCAAUUAAUUUAUAUUUUAUUGGACAUUCUUUUUUAAUUUUGGUUACUAUGUAAGCUCAAGUUCUUUAUCUGUUCUUGUAAGGUAUUUUAUAAAAUUAAUGUU